CUUGUAGGCGAUUGGUCGCGUCUGCUGUGAAAGGCUGGGGCUUAACCCUGGUUUUGCAGUGGGUACGGGCUAACUAGAGUGCAGUAGGGGAGACUGGAAUUCCUGGUGUAGCGGUGGAAUGCGCAGAUAUCAGGAGGAACACCGAUGGCGAAGGCAGGUCUCUGGGCUGUAACUGACGCUGAGAAGCGAAAGCGAUGGGGAGCGAACA
rnacentral:rRNA from 1 species